GAUGAACGCUGGCGGCGUGCCUAAUACAUGCAAGUCGAGCGAACAGAUGAGGAGCUUGCUCCUCUGACGUUAGCGGCGGACGGGUGAGUAACACGUGGAUAACCUACCUAUAAUACUGGGAUAACUUCGGGACACCGGAGCUAAUACCGGAUAAUAUAUUUAACCGCAUUGUUCAAUAGUGAAAGACGGUUUUGCUGUCACUUAUAGAUGGAUCCGCGCCGCAUUAGCUAGUUGGUAAGGUAACGGCUUACCAAGGCAACGAUGCGUAGCCGACCUGAGAGGGUGAUCCGCCCCACUGGAACUGAGACACGGUCCAGGCGCCGACGGGAGGCAGCAGUAGGGAAUCUUCGGCAAUGGGCGGAAGCCUGGAGGAGCAACGCCGCGUGAGUGAAGAAGGUCUUCGGAUCGGAAAACUCUGUUAUUAGGGAAGAACAAAUGUGUAAGUAACUAUGCACGUCUUGACGGUACCUAAUCAGAAAGCCACGGCUAACUACGUG
rnacentral:rRNA from 1 species